rnacentral:sRNA from 1 species
AAUAACUGUUAGGUGAGGUUCCUAUAAAGAAAUAUGCUACUGCCCAGAAAAAUCGAGAGAUUCCAACGGGUUAGCAGAAGUUAUCGAUAAGGUAAUUUUUAAUGUAGCUGGCUAGUUUGUCUACGCUUUAUAGUGCCAAAGCUCCACAGAU